rnacentral:rRNA from 1 species
GGUUAAGCGACUAAGCGUACACGGUGGAUGCCCUGGCAGUCAGAGGCGAUGAAGGACGUGCUAAUCUGCGAUAAGCGUCGGUAAGGUGAUAUGAACCGUUAUAACCGGCGAUUUCCGAAUGGGGAAACCCAGUGUGUUUCGACACACUAUCAUUAACUGAAUCCAUAGGUUAAUGAGGCGAACCGGGGGAACUGAAACAUCUAAGUACCCCGAGGAAAAGAAAUCAACCGAGAUUCCCCCAGUAGCGGCGAGCGAACGGGGAGCAGCCCAGAGCCUGAAUCAGUGUGUGUGUUAGUGGAAGCGUCUGGAAAGGCGCGCGAUACAGGGUGACAGCCCCGUACACAAAAAUGCACAUGCUGUGAGCUCGAUGAGUAG